AAAGCAAAACGUUAUUUAACAUCUUACUCAUACAGAACACUCCAAAAUUAAAAUGUGUUUCAACCACAGAAGAAAAGGUCCUUUUUUUGUACACACAUAUAUGAAAAUGAAGCUAAAAUUUAUAGCAAAAUAUUUCGUCCAGAGUAAAAUACAACUAAGGGACAAGGAAGCUAUAGUAUCUCCAAGAUUUCUGCUUUGCUGUUCAGUGUAUUUAGAAGCACAGCCUGAAAGAAUAAGAUUUGUUUAUGACUGCAUGAACAUCUUUUUUCUCCAGUUCUCCAGAUGUUAAACACCAUUGCCUAUGCCUCAUUUACAGGAAGGGCACUUUCUGACCUUACAAAGGGCUUCCCGAUGGAUGGCAGCAAUUCUGAGUCAUCCAUCUUGCACGCAAGAUGUGUUUUACAAUGGCUAGUUGCAGGUAUUUAUGGAAAACUGUGCAAGGAAAAAACCCCAACAAGUAUGGAACUUUCAACUUAUCCCUUCAAACAAAGAGUAAACACUUGAAGUACCAUUGAACCCCCACUGGAGGGAAGGGAUGCCAUCCAGAGGGACCUUGACAGGCUUGAGAGGUGGGCCUGAGCAAACGUCGUGAAAUUCGACAAGGCCAAGUGCAAGGUCCUGCACCUGGGAUGGGGCAGCCCCUGGUAUCCAUACAAACUAGGCAGAGUAUGGAUGGAGAGCAGCCUGAGGAGAAGGACUUGGGGGUGCUGGUGGAUGAGAAGCUCAACAGGGCUCAGCAACGUGCGCUCACAGCCCAGGAAGCCAACCGUGCCCUGGGCUGCGUCACCAGCAGCGUGGGCAGCAGGGCGAGGGGGGGAUGCUGCCCCUCCACUCCCAUAAGACACACACACCCCCCCUGCAGUGCUGCGUCCAGCUCUGGGCUCCCCCCAGCACAAGGAGGACAUGGAACUGCUGGAGCAAGUCCAGAGGGGCCACAGAGAUGGGCAGAGGCUGGAGCCCCGCUCUGUGAGGGCAGCUGGGAGAGCUGGGGCUGUUCAGCCUGGAGCAGAGAAGGCUCCGGGGAGACCUUACUGCAGCCUCCCGGUACCUAAAGGGGCCAACAGGAAAGAUAUGACCCCAUGGGGGACCCUUGCUGAGCAGUCCAUUCCUGAAGGAAUGCCUCCUUGGCAUGGGGAGCUUGGGCUCCCCCACUUGACACGGAGGAACCCCCAUGCUGAAGAGUAUGAGGAGGAAGGAGGUGCAGAGGCAAAGCAUUACGAGCUGUCCACAACCCCCACUCCCCACCCCUGCACUGCUGUUGGGGGGAGGAGGCAGAAGAGCUGAGAGUGAAGUAGGACCUGGGAAGAAGGGAGGGGUGGGUGAAGGGGAUUUUAGAUUUAUUCGUAUUUCUCAUUAUCCUACUCUGAUUGGUUGGCAAUAAGUUAAUUUCUCUAAGCCAAGUCUGUUUUACCUGUGAUGAUAACGGGGGAGUGGUGUCCCUAUCCUUAUCGACCCACAAGCUUUUCAUCCUGUUUUUCUCUUCCAGCCUUAUGAGAAGGGGAAAGGAUAGAGCAACUUGGUGGGCACCUGGCAGCCAGCCAAGGUCAACCCACCACAGUGUGGUACUGCAGAAAGCCCCCUCUCCCUGAGCAAGAGUUUUUGAAUAAGUAUCCUGUCAUAUCACUGCUCCUUUUAUCUUCCUAUGCAUGUUUUAAACAAGUUUUCCACUCACCUCCUCACGCGGUUCAGGACAGAAUAAAUACACUGCUGUUACAAACAGUCCAAAACCUCUUUUUUUCCCCAUCUUUUUCUAAACAAACUGUAGCAAUCUGUAACAAUUUGCCCAAGCAAGCUCCCUUAAUAUCAUUUUAGUCAAAGCUUUGAUAAUUUAUUAAAAAUUGAAUCCUAUUCACAUCCGUGCACCCCACACACUAAUAGUAGCCUAAUUGUUAAAGGAAAUUGGCAGGAUUUUCCCCGGUAUCCACUCAUAAAUUCUUUUCUGCCUUGUUCAGGUUAGUCCUCUUUUGAUACUCUUAAUGCUGGAUUGAAAGGAUUUUGAUUAUCUUUCUAUGAUGAAUCCAAAAAGGAACAUCAGAUGAGUUAUGACAAAGGAAGAUGUAACUUUUUAGGUUGGUUUCUGUGAACUAGCUACUUCAGAACAUCUGUACUGUGAUGACAAUUGAGGGACUAUAUAAAAACUCUAAUAGCAUAAUGUAACACAAUAACAAAUGUAUUCACUGUGCAGAAGAAAGGCACAGCUUUUGCCUAUGCAGCAUAUGCUUUUAUAAAGAAAGAGCUGAGAGCACCCACAUCCCCUUUGGUGUCUGUCAGAAAUGUCACGUCUGGACUGAACUCUGCAGAGCUGUUGUUUGAUUUAACCUUUCCCAGGUAACCUAUCCUGAGUAUGUAUAGCCGUAGUGAGGAAUAAUAUGUAGGCAGCUCUAUCCAUCUAGAUUCUGCGUUCAUCUGUGUACAGCACUGCUUCCUGGGGCAUGCUCAUUCUACUUCGUGCUGCUUAGCACACUGAACCCCUCGGGCUGAGCAGCAGGGCCAAUUCACCUGUGAGGAGCAGGUGUCUCUGCACAGCACUUCACUGUAUAGUGCAGACAAACUGGAGUACAACAGGAGGUCAAGAUGCUUUCGGAGUGUCAGGGUUCAAAGCGCACACCCCUUACCCUGUGGAUUUGGCUGUUUGGGCUGAAAGCAGCCUAAAUGUGGGGCAGGUACUCUUUGCUCUGUAGUAGCUUUUCAGCUGAGGCUCUCAUGCAUCAUCUUUGCGUAAUCUCUGUUCGAGCCAUUCCUAUGCCUGGCUGAUACAGGCCCUGAUUUUGACACAUGAUCCUGACUUCCUGGCUUGAUCUCAGACCUGCUUCAUUGCUCUGAGCUUGCCUGGCAGUGUGGACUGUUGGCUGAACCUGGUUGCCUUCACUGUACCUUCCCUGCCUUUCUUGCUCAGGUACUGCGGGACUGUGCUGUUUUCAGUGUGGACACUGCUGCUGCCUGCUGCCUCAUCACCCUCAGCUCCCAGCUGGAUUCCCCUGAGGCUUGGCCUGCCCUUGCUUCUCCAUCACAGAGCUGUUGGAAAUGCGUUACUCUGAAUACUUGAUAUUACAUAUCCUGGGAUCUGUGAGAAAUGAUAGGUUCUUGUACAUGCUGCAAUGGCUCUGGUGAGAAUGAGAGGAGGUUGUUCUGAGAAUCAGUCAUGAAGUCUAAAUCCAAGUGUUGGGCACCCCAUAGGUAAUCUAGUUUCUCCCUGUUCACCUGCAUGAAGGCUACUGCAUCGUUACCUCUUUUACAGAGAGAGGAUGAAAUUCUCACACUGUCAUAUGACUUCAGUACCCAGAACUUUAAACAGCAUGCUAGAAACAACAAAACUAAUGAUAGCAUCCCAAAGAUUUGGAAAAACUGGUGUCCCCUCAAGGGCUGGUGCAACCGAACAGAAAAUGAUCCUGGAGAACAUACAGGACGUGGCCCCUCUGGUUGUGAUUUUGCUUGGAAGUUUCACUAGGGAGCUCAGAAGGGAAGUGCCAUGAUAACAGCCUCUUUCCCUAGCUAAGUCACAAUCUGCUUAGUCUCUCUGUGUAUAGAAUUCGUUCCCUGUUGCUGAAGAAUUCAAUCUAAAUCUACACUACAACCAAAUAAAAAUGCAUUCUUCUUCAAGACUGGUUCAUUUCGUCUGGUGAAGGUAGUUUGUCAAGUGCUCCCACCUCUGCAAAAAGGGACAUUUAAUCUCAGAACACAGCCUUGAAGACUGACUUUGCAGCAGGUGUUUGGGGGGACUUCUUCCACGAUCAAAGAGAAUAUUUAUGCCUCUAGUGGCAUACAGGAUUUACGGCAUUUACAGAUCCAGUCCUGUACAACAUACUUGCUGAAGCUUUUACUGAAUUCAGAGGAAGUCAAAGAAAAUGGAGAUACUUUAUAGGAGUUUGUGCACGCUGCAGACUUGAAUUGAAUCACACAUGGAAAAUGAUACUAAGAUUAUGGAGAAAGAAGAUAUUUUUCAACUAUGGUAAGUUUGAAAAAAAUUAAGUGUAUUUUAAACAAUUCAUGUUCUGUCAUUGAUGACUGUUGUCAAAGGUAGGCUUGAAGGCUAGAUCCUUCGGGCGAUGAUUGAUCAGCCUGCUUAGUGUAACGGCUUACAGCAAAGGGCAGCAGUACACACUACCAGUAUGCUCUACCAGCAAAAUUCUUCUUCUGUGGACAGAGGUACAUCAGGAGAGUUAAACUCUCAUCCCAGUAUAAGCAAGCCGUCUACGCUACUGAAAAGAAACUUAGGCUGGCAAACCCAGUUUUGUCAGAAGCCAGCUGCAGAUGUCCUGGGACUGCAAGAUGGAGACAGGACACUGAACACAGCUGAUGCAGCACACAACGGUGGUGUGGCCUGUGUAUGCCUUCAUUUUAAGGACAGUUCACGGAACGUUCGUGGCCGCAGGCAACAGGGAAACCGAAGCGUUAAGUCACCCAACCUGCCUUAGCCAACAUUGUGCUUAGUAAAAUCAUUUAACAUUGAAGUUGCUUAGACGCCUGCAAGGCACGUGUAUUACCUUAAGGAGAAGGAGACUUCCAGAAACAGCUUACAUGCAAAAGGAGACAGGGAUGAACCUUUGAUUCAUCAAAUCACAGAGUGGUUUGGGUUCGAGAGGACCUUUCAAGAACACCUAGCUCCAACCACCCCUGCCCCGGGCAGGGACACCUUCCUCUGUCCAACCUGACACUUCCACAUCUCUGUGCAACUUUGUCCAGCGUCUCAGCAGCCUUAGCUGGUUGUGCUGCCAAGGGCAAGCCAGCGUUACCAGCCUUGCUGGCCUUUACGAACUAUUUUUACCCCACAGCAGGGAUUCACACUCCCUAAAAGCCUGCGUACAGCAGAGUCCACAGCCUUGCCACAGGAGCCCACGUAAGACAAGCCACAGACGGGCUACUUUUUCUAGCACUGUGGCUUCUACAGGAAUUCUGGAUGAACAAAAGAGAAGAAUAACAAUAGCGCAGAAGUCAACAACUGCUAAAGACUGUCACUUUUUUAUAAAGACAAACAUUCAGUUUUGAACAGUGGAUAUCUUGUUCAAAACAAGAUUUGCAACAGAUGGCUGAAAAGAAAAAUUGCAAAUAGCUAUUGUAAAAUAUAUCAGGAGAAUACGAUGCCUGAUUCAAGCCCAAAUUAUCUACAGACUUAAAAUAUAGAAAAAAUAAGUUUGAUCUUUUGAAUUAUGAACUAACAAUUUCUGGUAUGUAACAAAGACUUAGGAGAAACCCACAAAGAAAAGAAAACCUUAUUUUGAAUUCUUGUUUCCAAAACAUCAACAUGAAUCUGACAUUUCUGCAGCAAUAGUUUUGUGAGCCAGCAUGGUGGUGCAAAUGAAAUAAGCUCACAGUUGCAGCUUGUUUCAUUUGCUAUAGCAUUCUGAGUAAACAUACUGGCACAAUGACUCUUUCUGCAUUUUGCUAAUGAAAUUAUGCGUAUUUAACUCUUCGAAGAUUGUAUUCUCAUAUGUGAAUUUGUGUGAAAAACUGAUACCUGUGCCACAGACCAACAAACAUAUCUUCAUAUGAUAAAGAAGGAAAAAUAAGUUCUGUUUCCUGUGCAGCUUGGAGUGUGGGUUGUUGAUUUUUCUAGAUACCUUUAGCCUUCUUUUUACUGUACACCUUCACAAGAUUACUUUUUUUUUGCAUUGCUACCACCUAAUGGUCAUAAUGUCUUGCGCCUGAACUCUAAUGGUAGCAAUUUUGUCUCACUCAUGUACAGCUUUCAGACAGGAAUCAUACAAUAGCUUUUGUCUUUUUUUAUCAAAAAAUAAAAUAGUAAAAUACUAAAAUUACUGCCAGACUUUCAUCACCCAUUUUUUUCUAUUUGCAUGGUAAAGUCUUUGUUCCUCAGUGUUCCUGAAUUCUAAUGAUAAAAGGGUUAUGAUUAAUUUGCAGAUAGAAUAACCCUUUUCUAAAUGCAUACUACUCAAUAAAUGAACAAGCUGCUUACAGUAAUUAAAGUAAUGUCAUCCUGUGCUCAAAUUGCUUGUGCUAAUAAAGCUAAUUGGCAACAGCAAGCAUUAACUGUGAUUAGUCAUAUGCAUCUAAUGUCAUCACCAGUGCCUAUAAUUUUCUACAUGGAGGGAAUUUCACAUCUGUUUUGAAUCACUUGUCUGUUGUCUGCAUUGGUGUUCUUUCCUAUAUUAUUAUAUCAGAGAUUCUUUUACUACAAUAGAUAAUAGAAAAGUUGAUUUUCUUUUUCAAACAAAGAACUGCACAAUAGAGAACAAGAUAUCACAGAAUCAUUUAGGUUGGAAAAGACCUCUGAGAUCACCAAGUCCACCUGUUAACCCAGGGCUGCCAAGUCCAUCCCUAAACCACGUCCCAAGGCACCAUGGCUACGCAGUUUUUAAACCCCUCCAGGGAUGGUGACUCCACCACCUCCCCGGGCAGCCUGGGCCAGGGCUUGACCAACCCUUCAGUAAAGGAAUUUCUCCCAAUAUCCAAUCUAAAUCUCCCCUGGCAUAGCUUGAGGCUGUUUCCUCUUGUCCUGUCACUUGUUACCUGGGAGAAGAGACCGACCCCCACCUGCCUGCAACCUUCCAGGUAGUUGUAGAAAGCAGUAAGGUGUGUGUCCCCCCCCCCAGUCUCCUCCAGACUCAACACCCCCAGUGCCCUCAGCUGCUCUUCACACUAGCUGUGCUCCAGCCCCUUCCCCGGCUCCAUCGCCCUUCUCUGGACACGCUCCAGCACCUCUACAUCCCUCUUGAAGUAAUGAAGCAUUUCCAAGUCACUUAUUCUGAAAUAAGUGUUUGAUUUCUGCUAAAUUAAUAAAUCCGCAUUGCUUUUGCAUAUAGUCCAAUAGCCCCUUCAACAGGAUGUAGAUUAUUUGCAACAGAACAUUCAUCUAAUCAAUUUAGACUGACUGCAAGUUGUAUUUCACAGUAAAACAGAUGAGUCAGAAGAUCCAUUUUGUAUUUGUUUUGGGAAUUUGCAAGAAAUUAUUAUCAGGAAGAUAAACUAUCCAGGCUUUUGCACCAUUUAUCAUAGCCAAUUUCUUAGCUGUAAGUAGAGCAACAGUUAUUUGCUGUGUCAGUCCAAAAGGGCAGACGUUAAAUUAUCAAGAAUCAAGUGGCUGAAAAUGCAGCUUUAAAGACCACAUUUUACUACUUUGUUUUCUUUCCUAUUUGAAGAUUUCCUUCUCCCUUCACUUUUCCAACAGCUAACCAAUAAUCUCUACAAGUAUUUUACGUAAGUUACAUUUACUAGACCUCUCUGGUUCACGUGUCUAUGUUCUCUGUCUAAAUGGGUACAUUCUUCUAGAAGCAUAAAAGGUGUUCCCAAGUUCUCCCGCUGAGGCUUUUUGCCCAUGCUGGACGGAGUAACUAUUUCAUGUGUUACUCUGUUUACUACACCACUCAGUUUGCUUUUAUCCAGACAUUUGGAAUUACUGAUUUAUAUUCAGCUGAUGUUUGGCCUUAUGCCUCACAGCUUCGCUGACUACGUGAAAGCACAAAGCUAUCGUAUCAUCUCAAGAUCAGUAAAGGCAAACCGACUGAUCCCAACUUACACACAGAGAUGCACAGAUAAAAAUAAAGGGAACAUCUGCUUUCAGCAACUCUGGUGACCCCUUUUUGUUUUACAGCAAUUUAGCUUUUCCCACAUUGUGUUUCAGGUAUGUGUCUAUCACUCAAAAAAUUACCUGGUUGCUCACAAUUUUUUAUUAGGCCAUUUCAGAGUCUGAUCACAUCAUGACUUUUUUUUCAUCAUUCUUCAUUUUCUAAGACUAAGUUCCAAAUCAGCUCGUUAAAAUCCUCGUCAUUUUGGAAUUUGCCAUGAAAGCACUCAUAUGAAUGACAUACAUCACUAUGACCCACCUCUGUGGCUAAUGUGACAUUAAUGUCAGUGCCCUCACUCUUUCACAGAAUAGUCUUACGUUUCACAAAAUAACUUAAUUGUAAAGAUAUAAAAAGCCUGAUCCUUGCUCAUAUCAAAGCAUCAAAUUCUUAAUACGAUUCAAUUUCUUUGAUUGUUUUUGCAUACAUAGACCACAAAUGGUUUUGGCUUGUUGUUUUUUUGAGAGCGAUCCAGUAAGAAUCAAAGAUACAAAUCUGAAAUCGUACCUAGAGCUGCAGGUAUUCACUUUCACUGCAUCGGCUGGCAACACACACUUUGCCGUGUCAUCUAAAAGAUCUGAGCAACUCGUUUGUGAGCUUGGAGAACCGUUACCAUAUCGGCUCUCUUUUACGUAUGCUUUUCUCUUAACUUGUAAUUUCAGAAAAUUUUCUUUAACUUUUAGAUAGCUUAGUUGGCAAAACGUUCCCGUUUCUGAGCAGCCAAAGUGGCCCAAACAGACUCUGGAGAUGUUUAAUUUUGGACAGCUGAGAUAGCUUUACAAGUACCCAACUCCUUUGUAAUGGCAGCAGCACGUGCGUUUGUAAGAAACAGUCACCCUGUCUGCUUGUGCACAUGAAAUCACUAACCCACGUCUGUGAAAUCGCUAAAAAAAAGCCCCAAGCUUUUACGUGUGUAUACCCAGGAGUACUAUGUGUCUGAUUUUAGAGGUCAUCACCACCAAUAAAAAAUGGUUCAUCCUUUCUAUCCAAUACAGAGAGCCCAGCUACCGACAAACUCUGCCCAGGGCGCGCCGUCAGGACUCCUAGCGUGUGGAUGACUGGGUGCAGCAGCGUGGCAAGAAAGUUCCAGAACCGAAGGCUUCAGAACCCAAGUGUCGGUGCUGGGCCACCUCGGUCACAGCAGCAGACCACCACACAUGGCCGGUGCAGCAACAGGGGGGUUGUGUCCUGCCACGUGAGUCACAAAAUGCUUCUGAAAAGAGAUGGAGUGAGUGGGUAUGAUGAAGUAUGAUGCAACCACAAAAAAAGAUACUGAGACCUCAUGAGCUGCUUCUGAGGAGAAACCAUUUUAGCUUGCAACCAAAGGAGGGACAGCAAUAAAAUAAGUUUCUUGUGUUUGCCCUCGGGGAUUUUGGGUGGAGGCUCUGCAGCGGCCAGUACAGCGAUGCUCACAUCGUUGUGCUCGCCUCCCAGAGGCUCACGCAAGGGAGAAGUCCUGACAUCAGUGCUGCCAAUCCAGGGCAGGAUAGAGAAUAACUGUUCUUGGUACUAGAUGAUAAAUGCUGCUUUGUACUAGAGAAGUAGAAAAUUAAAAAUGUAAGGCCUAUUUUUAGGUGUUUUUAAAGAGACCAAGCUAGUAACAAGCAAACGUGGAUUGUAGAAAGGAAUAAAAUUAGAAAAUAAGUCAACAAAUACGAUCUUUUUGGCAAACAUGGACAGUUAUAGGGAAGCCAUGCCUCACAAGUCUGUGAGACAGUGUUACAAAUGGGGUUGCACCCUAGAGAGCUAGCCCCGACGAUAGCAAUGGAACACACUUUUAAAUUCACGUUUUUAAAAUUACUGAUCAGAAUUUAUGCGCAUCUGAGGCACUUGAUUUGUAUGGUGCCACUUGAAGUCACAAGUUACUUAAUUCCUUAGCAUUUUUCUUGUCACUGCUUCUUCACGGUACCCUUCUCGGUUUGAAGAUUUGUCUUUUUGUCAUUCAAAAGCUUUAUGGUUCUUGUCUUCACUUUGGAUUUUACAUCAUUUACUGCUCUGCCAGGUAAGUCAACCAGUAAGCCGCAAGUUGACCUGCCUAAGAAACACAAUACACUGCUGCCUAUGUAACUGCUGUCUAAUGUCAAAGAACAUCACGUAAAUUUUAUUUCUAUUUAUUCUUCUGACUAGUAAGCAAGAAAUUUGCAAGUGUAACUGUGAAGCUGGUCUCUUUCCCCUUCCCCAACACAGAUACCAAGUCAGUCUAUCAUAAAAGGCUGAUGCAGUGGGAGUAAGGGGUAUUUUAGGGAAAGAAGACCCAAACUGUUUAUGAUAAAGGCCUACCUGUACCAUUCAGUUUUAGUUAAUUAACUAUAUGGCUAAAUGAGGCAGCUAUUUCCCUGGGCUUUCCCGACAAUCACUGGAGAGGCAGGCUCCUCUAGAGGAACACUCUGGAUCUACCUAUUGCAGCUCAGGAACGCUGCCUUCUCAAAUACAAAAAACAAGUCACUUCUUUCAGACUAAAGAAAUAUGAGAAGGUAUUAAUAGAUGGGUACAGCUAAUUAAGUUUUAGAUGCUAAAAACGCAACCUAGUCUUACACCAACUAGUAACGCUAGUCUUAGGCCAACAACACACCACCAGUAAUUGACAAAAAAAGUGUUAUCUUGGUCUUCAAUUCAAACGUGUUGGUGAAACAUUUGCUGUAGAAAAUGCAAAAGUGACCAGUUCUGGCUAAAUCUCAGUUUAGUGACUUGUUAGAGAUUUAUUUUAAGGGCAUGGGGAACAUUACGAAUUCCCUGACAGAAUUCCAGUACUACAGCCAAGACUGGCAAUUUUUAUUGGUUUUGAGUUUUUUUUUUUUAAUACACUAGUAAGAUAAUUCUGGCAUACUUCUUUGUAAAGAGUUUUAAAAACUUUUCUUAUAUUAAAUUGUCCAGCUUUUCCUUCUUUAUUGUCACACAGAGCUGCAGAAGAGAUGUUCUGAAUCGCGUCCUCCUGCUUCAGACACACAUGCUUGUACUUGUCAGCUUUCAGCUCUGUUGAGCUUCUACCAGCUAUGAAAAGGGAACAUUUACUUCAUAAAUACCUGUCUCGAGUAUGUGAUUUUUGCAGUUCUAACUUUGCAUGGCCCCAGAUCUCACUUCUGUGAAAUCUUCCAUGAGACAUCUGGCAAAAGAGAAUGCCAAAUACAAUGCUGCCGCGAUUCUUGCGUAUAGAAUGCACAGAAAGCAAGGGCUACUUGUACUGUAAAAAGAGUUCAAAAUUGGAAUAAUUUCUCUGUCACCUCAUUUGUAACUGCCGGGUUUUGAGCGUACAACCCCACCCCCACCCCCCUUCAUCUCUAGCACUGUUCCUUUUGCUUAAGUUCUGCAAGAAAUUACCCUGAUGAUGAAGCUGUUAACGCAAAGGGGAUACAACUCCCUUAUUAUUAAAGGGUAUUAAAGGACACAGAUUCUGCUCGCUCCUUCACUUCUUGGAGUAAGAGCUGUUUCAGAGUCCAGGUACUAUACAUGCGGUAUAGUUACUGUGGUGUUUCAUCAAUUCCCUCGCAGAAAAGCAGUGAGCAAUCCUCACAGACAGUAAGCUGAAGACCUAAUAGAUGCGUGUCAGCUUAGUAGUAAACAUCAUUACCUUCAUUCCUCCUCAACGGAAAAACUGUAGCUAACAGAAAAGCUUAUGCUUAUUGUUGAGUUUCUGAAACAUUCUUAGAGGUUUGUAGCACACGAAGCCAUACAUUGUUUAUAAAAAAAAAAAAAAAAAAAAAAGUUCUUUCCCCAUUACCCUUUCCACUCUGAGGUUAACAAAGCCUUUUUGUUAGGACAACACGCAGUGAAGUCUGUCAGAAGUAGCAGUGUUCACCUGUCACCACUGCAUCGAGGAGAAUUUAAUGCAUCAUGCAGAACCACAGCAGUUAUAUAUAUAUAAAUAUAUAUAUAUAAAAUAAUAUAUUUUUAUCAUAUAUAUAUAACAGAUUAACAGCAUCAGUGCAAGUUCACGGAUGAACCACUUUUGGAGGAAGCAGAGAGCGCCGAUUCAACGAUCACAAAUACGAAUUCUUGCCUCGGUUUCUGGGAAGCUAUAAACCUGUCAGCAAAAAGGCUCAAAUGCCUCAAGUAGCUGGACUGCGACAAGACGCAGAGGAAUCUUUGACACAAGCUGAAGUUGGCCUUCACCAAUCUCACCAAACUCCGCUCAGCUGGAUGGAGACCACUGAUCGUGUCUACGCGCGCAGAGCCGGGAGCUUAAAAACAUUUUCUGUUUACUGAAGUGUUUCAGAAUGGGCUGUACCAUAUGCCCAGGUACCUCUUUCUUCUUACUAUUCUACAGUUCAGCGCGUUUAGGAAAUGCACCACAUACACUGCAGCUAGCUAUGUUAAAAGAACAUUCCCUACCCACUGAUGUGCAUGCACGCAAGUGUGGAGCUACCUAUAUAUUUAUACGGCUUAGUUAAAAAUUGUCUUGGGUGCCUACAUAUAGCAAUCAAUGUGCAUUACGUAGGAAUCACGUAAAUAACACUUUAAAACAAUGUGGUUACAAGGAAGCCACCCACCGGUUCCCGAGUUCAAAGACUUGUCUUCAAGACUAGUACUUCAAACUCGACACGCACAGUACCGGCACAACAAAACCUUCCUCAGCCCCGUUAUCUUCCCAAGCCGCUUAAUUCUGAAGGGAGCGCGGCGAAGGGCCAGGCCCCACCAAGCCCCAGCUACUACCUCUUCUCAUCGGAGUGCUGGCUGGUGAACGUGCACAGUCCACCACGGCUCGCUGCAAAGCCCAAAGCACGCGUCGGAACAAGGGUUUAGCACCGCCGACAGCACAAGCCUUUUUAACCGACACGGCGUUAACAAGCGCUUCUGUAAAGGUGCAGCAGGAAAGGUGCCCUGGAGAGCAAAGACAGAAACAAUGUCACCUGAGCUUUAGCAGUCUCUAGGUUUAUCUUAGCCAUCUGAUGCCACUGUCUGAUAGAAGAACCGUAAAAGGCAGUCAGCAGCUCCUGUCUUUCAUUUAAAAAUGAAAGCAGAGGGAUUUUCUAAACACUUAAUUCUGUUUGGUGUAAGGAAACACAUGUUUUAUUUGCGGUGUACACAUUCAGCCUUGGUGCCCUGACAAAAGAACCAGGCUAGUCUAUGACCCAAGACAAAAGUGACAACAUCUGACAUACGCUGGCGUAGGUAAGAGGGGAAGAACCCUCCCCCAGUUCAGACAGACGGGAAGGACAGCACAUAGCGGAGCUCAAAAGCAGUUGCAACAGAUCUGGAACAGGUCCAGGCUCCAUGGGAAAAAAAAUAAGUGUUGUGCCUUGAGAAUCAAUCACCAACCUACCUAAUUAUCAUCCACAGGCUGAAGCAGUAAGUCAACCAGAUAAACUUUACCUGAGCAAAAACGCAAGGUGAAUCUCGUGAGAGACGAGCGACAGAACUAUUCAACUAGGCAAGAUCUGGCUCUCUGGAUGACCCUACGCCAACAGACGAUCCCAGUUACAGCCUUCAGAAUCCAUGUUUUGGGACACAGAGAACACCCACACCAUAGAUCCAGAGGGAGAAAGGAAAACACUGCUACAGAAGGGCCUAGAAUCAGAAUUGCAGUACUUCAGCUACAGCCAGAAAGAUGCACUGAAGGGAAUCCUACUGCAUUUUGCAAGGUACUUACCGAUUUACAGAAGAAAAAUGCAGAAAAAGUUCUCCUCUCCAAGGAAAAAAGAUGCAUCAAACACUAAGGCCAGAUUCGUCUACGAGAGAGAAAUUCUGAAAGACACUACUAGCAAAACACAGCGUAAAGUUCACUUGUCAUUACUGCUUCAGCUUAUAGCAGAAGAGUAAGAAGCAUACGCCGACUUCCCUGAGGUAUCGUUAAGAGAAGCGUAAUUACACACGAGUCAUUAGCCAAGGCUAAGCACAGGGCAAAUCACAGGCUGGGAACAAUCUGAACCAGAAAGCCAAGCCAGGUCUGGGCAAGUCCAAAAGAUUUCAUGAAAAGCAGGUAGGAAGAUGCCUCUGUAUUUAUGCUAAGAGUAUUUUAAUUUUUUUAUUUUAUUGCCUUAGUCUUCCUCCACGCUGUAACCUUACAUAUUCAAAUAAUAAUGGAACAGAAGGAUGCCAAAUCCUUACCUGUUAGGAAGUAAGCUGCAGAAAGACAGAAGUUAAAACCAAAAAAGGCUUGCUGCUGCAGUAACUGCCAUCCUCCAUCCUGGUUUGGGAAACAACACAGACACUUUCAUAACGAAACUUGAAGCACUUCUACUACACCGGAGAAAGCACUAUUUAUUCUGAGACAGUCAGAAGUGAUUGUUCAAGUAUAUUAAUAGAGCCAUCAGUUAUAUACAAUAAAUACUUCCUGAUAUAACUGUGUAAGAUGCAUGUCUGAAAACAAAUUUAAAGCUAAUUACAACAGAAAAAUAGGUUCAUAAUGAACAAUAGUAACGACCUGAUUUAUCUUCCUUGUAAGUCUUUCAUAACUCCUCAGUGGAUUUCACGCGCAGAAUUAGUAUCAUAGCAAGUUCCCACAGGAGUAUGCAGGCAUCAGCACGAACGCACUGUUUCCCAGAGGUAGCGAGGAGGCUGACCAGGAGCACAAAGGGAGGUUCCAGUCAAGAGCACGGUCACACAGGGUUGCAGUUACAACGCUUAGGAGAUUGUUUCAACUAUCCUGCGUUCUUCUCAGCAAGCACCUGACAACUCACUGAACAGAGGGAAGGCUUUCCUAAAAACAGUCAAGACCACAGCUUAUAAUUUAACUUAGUCUUCCUAGAAAAUCUAGUACAAGGCUUACACUUAAAAAUAAUGGGUUUAACGAGCCGAGAAGGUGCGAUUCAUCCACUCUGCCAGGUAACGCAGAGGCCUGACGAGGCAGCAAGCUACUGCACAUCCUGCUGGUCCAGCCACUUGUGCAACACACCGUUGCUCGAGUAAAAAUCCUUUACCAGAGCAGUCCGAAGGGUUACAUCCAUUGCCCUUUGCUAUCAACUGACAUCACUAUUCCUCAGUUUCAAGUGACUGAGCCUUUAGCCCUUUGAAAGAGCUCUGUGAAACGUGGCAACGCAGAUAGUGCAGGACAUUCAAAGCACGCUUAUUUCAUCCUCACUGCUGCUAAAUGCACUGCAGGAAGUCAAAGCUGUACAAGGAUAUUAGUUCAGUCCAUCUCUUAACAGAGGUGACAAACUCCACUUCACGACAAUUAAAUUUGAUUAAACAGGUUGGGCAACGCAGCCACUCAGAGGAACUCUCCUAGUGUGUUCAAACCUUCGUAAGCCUAUGUGAGCAGCGCUGGGAAAAUACAGCUAAAGGUGUGUGGGUGUGUACACGCGCCCAUACGCUCCCCCCAGAAACACACCUCCGAAGCCUUCCCUUCAAGUUCAGGAUUCCUUGGACACGUAUUACAGUUCAUGGGUAAAACAAACCCUACGCCUCCCCAGCACAAGCUGACACUACAUCACGUCUCCGUCAAAUCCCGGGCUUAACUCGCCUCCCAGACAAGCUGUUAACACUAAACACAGCAACAGGGAAGAGCCCUUAAAUCCGGCGUCAGCAUUAGGUAAGCCAGCCUAGCUUAGCUCUACCACCCCCCUUUAAUUAAACGGCAAACUACACCGAGGGGUUAAUUCUGCUGAUCACCUCCCAUACCUCCACUCAACUGAUCCCACCCAUCAGGGAUGGAGGGGAGACAAAACACUGCUCUUCAGUUUUGAGCUCGGUGUGAAGGGGCUGGGGACCGCUGCGACAGGUCAUUAACAGAAGGAAGGGCAACUGCUAGAGGACUUUGCCAAACUGCCGGCAACAGGGCUGAAGUAGUUUCAACUGCUUUGCUGCCAGUAUCUCCUUCACGGCUACGUAGCUUGUUAAUUCAACUUGUCAGCAAGGGACAAAGCUCUGCUGGAAAGGACAAAAGUUUUAUUCCUUAGAAACAUCAAACUAAUGUAAGCCAGCACGCUGCUCUCCUGUAUUUGGCAUUUCUACUUGGAUUGCAAUUCAUGUAUUGAAGCAUGUGGGUUUCUUUCCACAGCUGCUUGUUCAUUAACAGAUCAGAACAUGGGAAGAGGACAGCCGCCAGCCUUAAAGCUAAUAUGCAAACUCUUUUUGGUCAAGCUGAUUCAGAAGCAAUGUUGAACUGAACAACCUAGAAACCCCCUGGAUUCCAGCAUUUACAAAGUACAAAUAAAAGGGCAAGAGUAGCUACCAACUCCAGCUACAAUACUGUGGUUUUCCCCCUCCCUCAGUUUUCAAGACCACAGAUCAGUCCGUAACAAUUCGCAAUGAUGAACGCCACUGAGAUUUGCUGCAGAAGAUGCAAGAGAGGAAGCAAUAAGGGCAAUGCCAUUGUACGUGUCGGGUUUUUUUAUUUCUGUAUGCAAUGUAAUGUUUAGGCACGUUGCUUGGGACGCCUUCUAAAAUAAAUCAUUGGCCAUUGUUUAGAG